rnacentral:lncRNA from 1 species
UUUAGGCCACAGUUUUUUAAUUUGUUGGUUUACGGAUUUUCCCCAUGAAAAAGUCGGGUCGGUCGGUCGGGAAAAAAAAAAGAAAAAAAUCAUCUUUGAAGACAAAAAAAUAUGCAAAAUCAAUAUAUAUUUCACCUUUCUAGCAAUAUGUUUGUUAUGCUAUUUUAUCAUCAUUUCUAAAAUUUUAGUUCGAUGAAAUAUUAUUGCUCAGCUGUUAUAAACUACGCAUGACAUUGUCUAGUAAUUUACAGUAAAAAAAAAAGGGGAUGCACGGACAAAGACGAAAUUAAAUCAUUUCAGAAACAAGAAAAAUAGAUUCGCGUAGCUCUUAAUCAAUUCCAGAAAACUUGGUAAAUAAUGAUCUUCAAGCACGAAAACUGAUAAAGAAAAAAUGCAUAAACGUCGUACGAAAAUAAGUUUCAACACACGUGUCAAAAACCUAAUAGAAUCGUCAACUGGAAAAACGAUAUCGGGUUAAUCUGUUGUAUUGCAUUCCCGUUUUUUUUAUCCAAAUGAACGACAUUUUUUUUAUUACCUAUAAAAACAAGAAAAUUCCUAAUGAUUUGUUAAUAUUCAGUUCUUUAAUUUGAUGCCUUCACCCUGUCCACAUUUGGACAAGUCUAUUUCUAUGAGAUGAUGCAUCUUACGGACUGAUGACAAAUAAGGUAAACGAACUUAUUGUGUAAUUGGUUUUAAACACAAGUUUCGUUCCGCAAAAUUAUUUGCGCAAACGACAUUUCAAGGUCAGUUAUAAUUGAUUUGUCUAUAUUUAGAAACGUAAACUGGAAGGGUUUUUUUUCACACCAGAAAGUGUUGUCAAUUUUGUUAGUGAUUAAUGCAUUUCAUUUCAGGAAAAAAAAUAUUUUAAUUAUUUUUCAGGGAUAAUGCAUUUGUUAAGGUCGGCGGGAAUAAAAAAGCGUGAAAAGUGAAUUUUAUUUUUAUUCUGGAAAUCAGCAAAAUCGGGUCGGCGGAUCCGUAAACCAAUAAAUUAAAAAAUCCUGGCCUUACUCAAUUUAAA